GUGGGGAAUCUUCCGCAAUGGACGAAAGUCUGACGGAGCGACGCCGCGUGAGUGAAGAAGGCCUUCGGGUCGUAAAGCUCUGUCAUCAGGGACGAACGGCCGGUGGAGUGGAAAGCCACCGGAUUGACGGUACCUGAGAAGGAAGCCACGGCUAACUACGUGCCAGCAGCCGCGGUAAUACGUAGGUGGCAAGCGUUGUCCGGAAUUAUUGGGCGUAAAGCGCGCGCAGGUGGGAUCUUAAGUCCAUUUUGAAAGUUCGGAGCUCAACUCCGUGAUGGGAUGGAAACUGGGAUUCUUGAGUACCGGAGAGGAAAGCGGAAUUCCCCGUGUAGCGGUGAAAUGCGUAGAUAUGGGGAGGAACACCAGUGGCGAAGGCGGCUUUCUGGACGGUGUCUGACACUGAGGCGCGAAAGCUAGGGGAGCGAACGGGAUUAGAUACCCGUGUAGUCC
rnacentral:rRNA from 1 species